GAUGAACGCUGGCGGCGUGCCUAAUACAUGCAAGUCGAGCGAACGGACGAGAAGCUUGCUUCUCUGAUGUUAGCGGCGGACGGGUGAGUAACACGUGGAUAACCUACCUAUAAGACUGGGAUAACUUCGGGAAACCGUAGCUAAUACCGGAUAAUAUUUUGAACCGCAUGGUUCAAAAGUGAAAGACGGUCUUGCUGUCACUUAUAGCUGGAUCCGCGCUGCAUUAGCUAGUUGGUAAGGUAACGGCUUACCAAGGCAACGAUGCAUAGCCGACCUGAGAGGGGGAUCGGCCACCUUGGAACUGAGCCACGGUCCAGACUCCUACGGGAGGCAGCAGUAGGGAAUCUUCCGCAAUGGGCGAAAGCCUGACGGAGCAACGCCGCGUGAGUGAUGAAGGUCUUCGGAUCGUAAAACUCUGUUAUUAGGGAAGAACAUAUGUGUAAGUAACUGUGCACAUCUUGACGGUACCUAAUCAGAAAGCCACGGCUAACUACGUG
rnacentral:rRNA from 1 species